rnacentral:lncRNA from 1 species
GAGAUUAAUCGAAGAUUAAUUUUAAGGGUUUAUAUAUAUAUAUAUGAUUUUGUAAACCAUAUUGCUUAAUGUAACGUAGUCUGGUGGUUAGUGUGUUCAUUAAACACUUUGAGGUGGCGAGUUCAAUUCGGUAAUAGGGUGGUUUUGCUUUUUUUUUUCAUUUCUGUCUUUAAUAAACACGUAAUUACAAUAACGCCCUUGUCUUCAUCUUCCUCAAUUUGGACCUACAAACCCUAAAUUUCGUAUCUCACUCAUUCUUACACGAUUCACAGCGAUUUCAGCUUCUUUUGUUACGUUUUAGCUCAAUUGUAAUGGGAUUUCAAUCAUAACUAUGAUUAUAACCUCAAAAUGUCCUUAAUUUUUUUUUUCUUUUUUUUGAAAAAUCUGAGUUUUAGAGCGAAAUGGUCCAAUCCGCCACGGUACCGAGUUACGUUUAAGCGCCGAAUAAGCAUCCGAUUUACCCACGUUUUAGAACAGAGAUUAAAACUAGGGAUGCACAAAAAAAAAAACAAACCAAACCAUAUUCUUACGUAACCCAAUUGGUUUAUGUUUUACUCAACCCAAAUGGUUUGGUUAAGUUUUAAACCGAACCAAACUGAUAACCUAAUAUAUUUUAUAUAUUAAUAAAUAAUAUAUAUAUAUAUAUGUACAUUAAUAUCUUGUGAAAUGUUUUAGUUAAAGUUCCGUUUUUUUUCUUGUUUCCUUAACUUAUAUAUUUUUUAAGUUCCCAAAUAUGCUGCAAAUGUUAUUAUUGUAUAUACUAAGGGCAUUGGCCCCGCGCAAGCGCGGGGUUGUGGACAGAGUUCUUGUUUCAUCUCAAUAUUUGUUAGGGUUAUUGUAACUGUGAAUUUGCGUUUUGGGUUGACCAUUGUUUUUCAUGUUUUUUAUUGUUAUAUGGUUAUAGUUGUGAUGAUGAACUAUGUAUGCGCUGUUCUCCACUCAUGAAGGACUAAUUUGUGUUAGUAAUGUGACUGAUAUAUUUUGUGGUGUUGUUUGUUGUGCCACUGAGACUUAUUGUUUGUUUGUCUUUUUAAUUUAUUAUUUAUACUGGUGAGAUUACAUAAAUUAUAUUAAGGUUGUUGAAGGUAACUCUCGUUUCUGAAUACUUUUUCUCCAGUUUAGUUGUGUAAAUUGUGUGCAUUAAGCCAUGUUCGAAAAUACGCUAGGCGUGAGUCGGGCGGAUAGUGUGGGCCUAGCGAAUUGAUUAAAAAUUGGAGAUUAAUCGGGGAUUAGUUUUGCGUGUGUAUACAAUUUUCCAGAUAUGUAAAUAUAUAUAUAUAUAUAUAUAUAUAUAUAUAUAUAUAUGUGGAUAUCAACAUAUUUCUGGAGAGUAUAACAAUGAAAUUACAUUUGCCUAGUGAUUACCACAGUUUAAAGCUAUGUUCAGUCAUCGGGUUUGACCCUUACAAUUUGCAUUUUAUGCGUUUUUUAAAUGAGUGGUAUUUUUGUAAUAUUUUCGUCAUCUUCCUUAAAACAUUUAAGGUUUUCUGCAAUUAUUUGUUGCGGCCGCCAUAGAUUUCAAACAUUUCAACCCAAAAACUAGGAUGUUUUGAUUUUGCCAGUUUUAAUGGCCGAGUUAGGCAAAAUGCCACGGUCUGCAACCGCCAAGAGUUGUACCGCCGGUUAAUUGGGCGCCCAAGCAGCAUUUUCGAACAUGGGUAUUAAGUAAUAAUUUUUUUUUAUUUUUAUUAUGUUGGUUAUAUGUUUUUUUAUUUAAACUUGUUGCUUUUACCAUACCUUUAAAACAAAUACAUGAAGACUUGUAGAAAUAAAUAUAAAAUGAGUGAAAACUAGCAUUUGAGCCUUAAAACGAAUAUAUAAAUAUUUCUCAUAAGAAGACAAUAGCAUUGGCCUGUUGACAUUGAGCAUGUAAGACAUUUUCAUAAGACAAGAGUAGUGAGCAGGUGGAGAUGUUGUUGCCGCUUUUGUAUCUGUUGGGAUUGUGUCUUGUAUCUGCUAGUGUGGCUGUGUUUAUUUCUCUUUUAUUUGAUGGAUAAUAUCUAAACAAAAAACAUUGUUAGUUGUAUUUAUUAGAGUUUGUAACUUACUAUGCUUUUUUGUUUAGUAAUUUUACUGAUCUUGGUUGUUGUCUUUGUCUUCUUCGUAAGCAUCUGUUAAAGUAAGUUUGUAAAUUGUUAAAUAGCUGUCCCUGUAGUUUGUAUUUGUUUAGCUGGCUCAAUGUAUGUAUCGUUGAGUUUUAGUGGAGUUGAUUGGUUUGGUAUAUUUGUUUUGAAAUUUAUUUGUAAGUUUAGACAAAAAGAGAGAAGAUCAUUAAUGAUUCAUAUUUUUUUUGGGAUUCUAGUUCUUGGUGUUUUGAUUUAUUGUGGUUUUUUUAACCUGUAAAAUAAAGAUUUGUGUAAAAUUAGAUUGAUAAGUAAGGGAGAUAAAUAGACGACCACAAAUCCUGGGUAGAAAAUUUUUUGAUUAUUGAUGUUAGCACAAUAUAGACUGUAAUAUAAAUGGAUUUAUGUGUUGAUUGUUUCUUACGGAUCAAUGUGGAGAUGGAUAACGACUUGAGUUGUUUCUUUGGUGAGGUCAGAGCUCUGGACAGAACAUAUUUUCCCAACCAUAUAUGCGAGUUUAAAUAUCAGUUAUGAUAUCGGAAUCUAAUAUAAACCCAGAUGCAAUAUGAUAAUAAACCCGAGAGUUUUAGGUUUGUGUUCGCAAUCACUUGGAGAUUUCGAACAGUCUAAUCUUGACUGGAGAUUGAUCUCAGGAGCACCCGUGAUGACUUCAGCAAUAAUGGUUAGUGAGAUGAAACGAAUGAGGAAUGGAUGAUCAGUUAUCUUGUAUAUGUUUGAGCACAUAACAACCUCAAAACGAUCGACUUUUACAAUAGAAUCUGCUUUCAAAGAUGGCAUGUAAUGAUUAGCACGUCCGACGGGAGUAAAUCCACGAAUCACGAAAUCUGCAAAUAAUAUUAUUAAACAAAGAAUCAGGAAAUUAAAACAAUUAUGUUAAAUAAGUGUGAUUUUUUUUUAUCGUUGUUGUGUGGAUAUGAUGUUCUGUGUUUUGUUGAUCGUGCAUUUGGGUUUUAAAAAAAAAGCGUUUCGUUCAGGCCCAAUUAAGUGUGGGAUUUUUAUCAUUUUUUGAACUUUGAGAAUCAAAACUUAGCAGCCUACUGUUUCCGACGCCACCGAUGAGCCCUCUGUACCGUUUUCAGAUUUCAUUAAUACAUAUAAAACCAUGCUUUAACCAUGAUUUACUUGUGUUCAAAAAAAAAAACCAUGAUUUACUCCACUCGUCCCACUCUCAAGCAUUCAAUCGAGCUCAUCAUCUUCCGAGGUAACGGACAGAAGCUACGACUAUAAAUCUCCAUUCUCCUAGGGACGAACAGCCAACCUCAACGAAAUAGAGAAGAAUAGUCUCUGCUAAUUACCAACUCCGACAAUGGUGAAUUCCUUCAUCCUGCUUCCCAAUUUGAAAGCUGGCCCCUGCUCAGUAUGUAUGACCAAGCGAUUCAACUGAGUUUGAAGUUUGGAAGUGACAAAGAGUUUGGAUCGAGAUCGAACCAAGCUGAGAGAAACCGCCUCGGAUAGAGCUUUGUUGAGAGGCUACUCCUUAAGAUACCUUGGAUAUCUGUCGAAAUGGCGAUGCGAUGACCGAGCUUGAUGGCGUCGAGGACCGUUUGUUUCAGAAACAACUGUUCCGGCGGUGGAGAUGCGGCGCGAAACCUAGAACCGGCAUUAGGUGAUGAUCAGAUCCGACUGGGAGGUUGGGGACUGGGACUGUGAUCAGACGUUAAAAGAUUCAAAAAAAUUGCCAAAGUUUUUUUCCUAUAGAAUCGUUUGUCAAUGGCUCAAGCUAUACUGAGUAGCCCACCGCGACUGAUGUUAAUAUUAUUAAUAUACUCACUUCGACUUCUUUAUUUUUUAAAUGACUAUGGAUCGAAACUUCAUGUAUAGUCUAUGUUCAGUGUUUGCUUCAGUGUUUGAUGCUGUGAAAAUGUUGAGUCUUGCUACAGCUUGCGCUACUGUGUCUUUCCUUUUCGAUUCUUUUGAUGAAGACUCUUCUGUUAUUUCAUAUUCUUGUCUAAUCUUAACCAUGAUUUCCUUGUCACUAUUUUAGAGAAACUCUAGCUUGGUAAAUGAUGUUCUAAGUAUCAGGUUAGUUGCUUAUUUAGUUUGUCACCAACGAGAAAAGAAUCUACAGAUCUUUACUAAAGAUCUAAUGUCAUUAUUGCAUUUGUUAAGAGACUCUCUCUACAAUGUUGUUUUAUAGACGAAGCAUCAUACUCUGAAUAUUUCUUUUAACUUCAUGCUAUCUAAAUGAUCAAACAUGAUGGUUUUCAGAGUGUUACAACUGAUUUUCUGUAUUCUUGAAUAUGAUAAAUAUCUCUUAAAGUUAUUAGUAUUGCUUGAAAAAAACUCAUUGAACCAAUGCUUAAGAUCCCAUCUCUCUUAUGCUGCACUGUGAGAUCGUGUGUGUUUUAGUUGCAUUUAGUUAAUAUUGAUAUGAAAACUCUCAAGGUAUAUAUAUUCUCCAAGCCAUACACGAUACAUAUUUCAUUAUGUAUUUGUAUUUUUUUCAUACUUUAACAUGCAGCCAUGGCAAGGCCUGGUGGAGAUGCUGCUUUGGUGGGCUUCAGUUCGCAGAUAUUUUGUGGUAUUGAUUCUUCAAGUAACAAACAUAUAUUCCUGUUUUAUUUUCUUCUAAUGAUAUGGAUCUGUUAUAGUCUCUAUUAAAAUCAGGGAAAAAAAAUCUAUUGUCAGAAUAGCCCAUGAGCAUGAAUUGUUAGUUUGUCAACUCUGUUACAAAAAAGUAAUACGAUUAUCGUAAAAAUAGUAAAUUGUAAAAACUACAUAAGAGAUGCUAGAUAUUCAAUUGGGAUUACAGUUUUGGUUCAGCUUUUUUUAGGUAUUAAAUAUUUUGAUUUAUAAAAAUAAACUACCAUAUUAAAAUCAUUUUUACAUUGGUUUGGUUGGUUUAUAUAUAUAUAUAUAUAUAUAUAUAUAUAUAUUUAUAACAGAAUUUUAGUUUAUAAGAUUAGAAAACUAAAUUUACCUUAGACUGAAGAGUGAAUGUAUUGAUAAAUGAAGUAUAAACAAACGUGUCACACGAUACCGACACAAGCUAUCUACAUUUUUGUUGGUCAACGACACAAGCUAUCUGCAUUGCUUGCUUUUUUUGUAAUUUGACAAGAAUUCAAAAGCUAAGUAUAUUUCUCAUUCUAAUAUUAUGGUUUUUUUAUGUUUUAAUGGUUUUUAUCUUUCUCGGGGAACUGUUCCUCUGAAUUUAAUGUUUAAAUAACUUCUAUUAUGUAUUCGGCCCUCUAACUUUAUAUGGUGAUUUAAGUCUAUUCAUGAUAACUAUCUUAAUUAGAUUUAUAUCUAACCAAUAUGAAUCGAAUGUUAACUACGACGCCACAUGAAGCACGAGUGAAGCUUAACUUCCUUACUGCACGAAAUCUACUACAACUAAAUAAGAUGACUGAACCUAUUUCAUAGCUAAUUAAAUAGUAUUCAAAACACCACCAUAAUCAAAGGUGAAAGAGUACAAGAAACUAUGAUUAACUAAACAAGCAAAUUCCUUUUUCUGAGAAGUAUAUCAACAAACUCAAACAAAAAAUCUUAUAGAGAUAUUCAGACAGAAAAUACUAAAAGUGUAAUAAGCUCUCAACAUAGCUUACUCAACUUAAACAAAACUAAAGACAUGACAAUGAAUCCAAACAUUAUCCUCCACUAAAACACAAGCAAUUCUCAUGUGUCACUAAUUCCCAACUAUUAUAAAAAUGCAGUCUAUAUAAAUCGCCCAAACUCUACAGAAAAAAAUGAUUAAACAAAUAUAAGUUAAAUUAGCAGAAGCCUCAUUAUAUGAUUCAAUUGGUUUAAAAACUAAGCACCCUAAGAAAAAUAUAAAAUAAAUAGUACAAAUAUUGUUGCUUAAUUAAAAUAUAAGAAUCCUGAAUAAAAUUAUGUUUUAUUGCCAGAAUUAAUUUCUUACCAAAAAUCAAAUAAGAAAAAUAUAUGAACAAAACUUCAUUAUAAAUGUUUAAAUUCAGAUUAGUCUCUAAAAUAAAAUUUCAAAUGCUGUUCUUUCUAUAUACUAUCCACAUUGUACUUAACAAUAUAAAUAUGUUCUCUAAAUAAAACAUAUUACUUCAUGUUUAAAUUCCAACUAAAUUAAUUUUGUUACGACCUUUUUAUUCUACUUUUAUUGAAUCGAUUAGUCAAAACCACUAAUGUUAUUCCACUUUGAACUAAGCAACUUGAAAACAAAGUAAUACACUACAAUCGCUAACUACUAUCAAAUAGAUCCGGAAAAUAUCAUUCUCUUUCAACAUAUUUUCAUUUUCAUAUUUUUAACAUAUUCUCUUUACAAAGACAAUAAAAUGAAUUUUAAUUUCCUGUAAAAAUAAAAUAUAUGAACCCGGCGCGUAGUUUUUUCUUUUGCGGUUUGAGAAACAAAGUAUUAUACCCUAUAGUGAUGUAAAAUAAGGGAAUCCAAUUUGAAAAAAAAAAUCAAAUAUAUUAACCAUAUAAUUUAAAGUAUUUUAAAAUAUAAUUUUAAAAUAUUAAAAAGUAUAAGACACCCAUUACAAACUCUAUAUCAUUCUAAAACCCAAUGUUAUAUGUAAAUUUUUAGAUUUUAAUUCAAUAUAUAUUUUCCAUGAAAAACAAAUUAUUUAACUAAUUUUCUACCAAAUUAGGACUUUGGUUAAAAAUUAAUAAAUAAGUAAGUAAAAAUUAUUUUAAAUUAGCCUUUAAAUCUAUAAUAAAAUAUAAUAGAACAUUUAUAAUAGAUUAUCAAUAACUAAUAAAAUAAUAUUUAGUUAUAACUAUAAAUUUUAGUUUUAUAUCAGAUUUGCUUUAAAUUUUAUAGUAAAAGUUUUAUCAAAAAUAUAAGAAUCAAAAAUCAAAGAGUUUAUUAAAAAAUUAUAUAAUAGUAAAAUUAUAUCAAUUUUUUUUAAAAAAAUAUCAUCAGAUUAUAUAAGUUUUUAUCGGGUCAAGCAGUAUCAGAUCGCGGGUAAGUCAUUGGUUUUGAGUUCUUACCAAAUUUUAUCAGAUUUUUACUUUGCAGUUUUUAAGUAAAACCGAACCUAAUUAUAUACAUAUCACAUGAUCUACCAGUUUGACUACAUGUGUGGAUCGGGUACAAAAAAACUGCAAUAAACUAUUAACAUAUAUAAAUAUAUACUAUUAAAUUAGUUUAAAAUAUGUCAAGUAAAUCUUAUGUCUAAUAAACUCAUAAAAUGUAACUUUUAUAAAAUAUACACAAAAUAUAAAAAUGACAUUGUAACAUAAGAGUGUACAUAAAAGUUUAGAAUACGCUAAGUCACUAACUGAUAAAUUAUAUAAUUUUAAACAAAAAAUCAUUUCUUUCUUUGAUAUAAUACAACUUUGUAACGUAAUAAUGUACAUCAAAACAUUAAUUUAUAUCUAACAUUGUUAGUACCCUAAAUACUCAUUCUUUGGAAACUUGGGUCAAAAUCUAAUUAUAUAUAGAAGCAUGCAUGUUCUCAGUUCUGUAGACUCUGGUAUUAGUCUCAAUUUUCACUUCCUCUAUUUAUGGUCGUCGGAGUGGCGGAUCCAGAAACAACAUUCAUCCGUGAAAAAACUAAAAACACUCUUACUACAUUUACAAAAUUAAAUUUUAAACAGGGGCUUUUUAAAAUUUAAUACAAAAUUACAUUAAUUAAAAAAAAUCAUGGUGUCAAUUGUCCCACCCACUCACAAGGUUGCUCCGCCCCUGUGACAAACAAAAUCAUGGUGGCCAAGUCAAUGGCGUUUUGGACAUCGCAAAAUGAAGCCACGCAUCCUCCAAAAUGUCGCCUGAUGCAUUGUCAAUUUCAGCUUUGUUGAGUAUUAGUGCUUGGUCAGUAACAUUAGCAAAUGGUGGCCUUGUUUUACCCGUUGUCAUACCAUCGAUAUGCUCCGAGAUGGUAACAAACAAGUUAACCUCCUCUAUUUUACGUCGCAUCUGAACAAACGCCUCCACGGCAUCGUCGUCUGAGAUGUACUGUGGUGUGGAACCAUCACCAUCGUCGAUCUCCAUCCAUGAGGGAUAUUGGUAUGAAAGUUUGAUUGACAUGUUCUUUGCGAGGAUCCCUAGGGUCUCCUUAACCUUUUUAACCAACUCUUCAUACUCCAUGCCAGGGAAGAGGUCAAUGCUAUGCUUGCCUUCUUCUGAAAGGGAAUCGAAACUCCAUCUUCUGUCUUCCUCGUGGACCCACGAUCCGGUUAGUAGCAUAACAGUGUGCUGCUCCGUUAUCUGCAUUGUCAGGGGUGAAAGAAGCUAUGAAUUCAGCAAAUUCUAUGAAGUUUACAUAUAUAGUAUAGUCCUAUGCUCUACUUGUUUGUCAACAUCUUUGCUCCGUCAGAACAUCUUUCAUCUCCCAUUAUCAACAGAGUUGCAUACUCAUUUAACAUAUCGGCCUGGUGGUCCUUAUAUAUGUUACCCUUCCUAUCAUAGUACUAACCCACUCAACCAACAUAUCAACAUUUAAAGCGCUUUAAUGUAGAAAGUUCCAAACCUGGUAGUUGUCUCCUUGUGCUUUAACUCUCCCGUUGUCUUCUUCUUCAGACAUUUUUUAAAUUUUACACAGUCUAUUUUUACCCUUCUCCCAAUAUAGUUCUGCUUCCUUUAAUAUAAGUUAUAAAUUAUAUUUUUAUGUGUACCAGCUGUCUGCAGUACACACCACACGUUCUUUAUGAGCAGGAAUUUCCCUCAUUUGAAUUAUUCACUUGUGGGUAGGAUAUUGAAAUGACUUCCCAUACUAUUUAUCCGUUUGGUAUAUUGAUAUGCGGUUCUUCUUUUUCUUUGUAUUCACCAUCUCUUUUACCCUUACGUCCCCUCUUCAUCACAUCCAAGUUGGCAUAAUGAUGCAGCGAAUCAUCAUCAUCUCACCGCCAUUACUAUAGGCUUUUAUGUUUUCGGCUUUACUUGUAUUGAAAGUUAGUAGUUUUUCCUUUUAGUAGUUAAAACCCCUGUUCACGAAUGCGCUAUGCGUAACGCGUGCGGCAGGUACAGGCCUAGCAAGUUGUGGAAAAAUCGGAGAUUAAUCGAAGAUUAAUUUUAAGGGUUUAUAUAUAUAUAUAUGAUUUUGUAAGCCAUAUUGCUUAAUGUAACGUAGUCUGGUGGUUAGUGUGUUCAUUAAACACUUCGAGGUGGCGAGUUCAAUUCGGUAAUAGGGUGGUUUUGCUUCUUUUUUUUUCAUUUCUGUCUUUAAUAAACACGUAGUUACAAUAACGCCCUUGUCUUCAUCUUCCUCAAUUUGGACCUACAAACCCUAAAUUUCGUAUCUCAGUCAUUCUUACACGAUUCACAGCGAUUUCAGCUUCUUUUGUUACGUUUUAGCUCAAUUGUAAUGGGAUUUCAAUCAUAACUAUGAUUAUAACCUCAAAUGUCCUUAAUUUUUUUUCUUUUUUUUUGAAAAAUCUGAGUUUUAGAGCGAAUUGGUCCAAUCCGCCACGGUACCGAGUUACGUUUAAGCGCCGAUUAAGCGUCCGAUUUACCCGCGUUUUAGAACAUAGAUUAAAACUAGGGAUGCACAAAAAAAACAAACCAAACCAUAUUCUUACGUAACCCAAUUGGUUUAUGUUUUACUCAACCCAAAUGUUUUGGUUAAGUUUUAAACGGAACCAAACCGAUAACCU